rnacentral:rRNA from 1 species
GACAGAGGAUGCAAGCGUUAUCCGGAAUUAUUGGGCGUAAAGAGCUCGUAGGCGGUUUGUCGCGUCUGCCGUGAAAGUCCGGGGCUCAACUCCGGAUCUGCGGUGGGUACGGGCAGACUAGAGUGAUGUAGGGGAGACUGGAAUUCCUGGUGUAGCGGUGGAAAUGCGCAGAUAUCAGGAGGAACACCGGUGGCGAAGGCGGGUCUCUGGGCGGUAACUGACGCUGAGGAGCGAAAGCGUGGGGAGCGAACAGG